CUCCUCCAAAUGCGCAAUGACCUUUUCCAUCUGCACGACGCGCUCCUCGCAUUGCACGAUGCAGUGCUCAGAAUGCACGACGUUCUGAUGGCACCACUUGAGACUGGUCAGGGUUUGUUCAGUGCCAGCUCCACGUGCUCCAGGGUGUCUCAGUGGAUGUUCCGGACCGCCCCCGCGUGCUGAGGCAUUCUCCCUCCGCCUCGUAAUCCAGGCUUUCGCGCGGUGGCCCACAGGCUGUGGUGCGGCCGCUGCCGUGACAGGCCCUGUUGUAGCAUGAAGAAUCCCACCUGCCUCAUUCCUUCCUACUCGAACAGAUGGAUCGUAAAGGGUGACAAGAGCAGGAGAGCAGAGUGCCUGGAGAAGUCAUGCCUAGUCUCUGUAUUCUAGCUCAAAAGAGAUACUUGUCACUCUCUCUCAGAGUCAAUUGGCAAGAGCUGGUCACAUGGACACACCCGUGCAGGAAGACUGGGCGUUGAGGAAAAGCACGUGUAUGUUUGGCCUUCACAUCCACUCACCACUCUCUCAUGACUCACCCAGAGCAACUUCCAGUCCUGCAAGCUGCAUUUAUGUUUGAUUCUUAGGACAAGCCAGAGAUGCAAAGAGUGUAAAGGAGCAUUUUUCCUCCCCUCACCACUGACACCCUGGCCUCUGGGACCAGAAGCUGAGUCUCAUUUGGGCAUUCACAGAGCAAACAGGAAUGCUAGGGGCCCACAACUCCGCAGGCAGCUGAGGAGAGGCAGCAACAAGGCAUCAGACUCAUCUAUGCAGACAUUUCACGUUGGGACCUUGUGCCACUGCCCCUCAUCUCCUUAGGAGUAAUAAUUUGCUGAUUUUCUCCCAAGACGUGGGUGCUUUCGUCUGCAGUGGCCUCAGACCUCCCACAGCCAUCUGGAUCUUCCUCUCUCCUUUCCCACUGCCUCAGGGAAAAGGGGGAACGCGCCCACUGAUAUGUGCCAGCCUCUAUCUUUCCUCGUCCUUCAAAGCUCUGAACUAGAAAGGGUAGAUUCUUCAUACACUCUAAGUCCAUUCCUGGGUCUUGUCUUUUCCGGCAAGUAUGUACUCCGAGGCCUAAUAUGGCCUGGUUUUUGUGGUGUCAAAUUUAGUUAUUUCUCUUACUGUAAAAUGCAGGCAUAAAAGAAAAUUAUCAUCUCCCUAAAAGCAGUCAAAUUAGUGAACUGAAUAGUAAUCUCUUUAUUCUAGAGGAAACUUUCUUCUUCCUGGAGUGAUAGCUCAGCCUUCGAGCAUAAGGCUCUGAGGCUCAAUUGUUAGAAGAGAGUGAGCAAUAUUUAGACUCACAGUGUUAUUUUUAAGAUACUAAACAACUUUGCAAUAUAAAAAGUGAUCUUAAAUCAUUCACUUAUUUAAAUUUUUGUGGAUAUAAUUCAAUGGAGAAGGAAUCAUGUUUGAAAUCAUCCUUAUACCAAAUAAAUAUGUACAUGUAUUAGAUGUCUAUGAUUUAUGUGACAGCAUAGUUUGAUGGAAACAAUACAGACUGGGAGGUAUGUGCCCUGCUUUCUAGGUUUGUUCUGCUUUGUAGUUAUCUUUAAAGCCAAAUCUCUGCUAAAUCUAAUACACGAUGAUUCCAUAAAACACUUUUUAAAAAAAGUUUUAAUAUGAAUUUAUGUGAAUAAAGUUGUUUCUCUUCCAUGUAUCAGUAAGUCUUUUCUCUCUGAUUCAAGUCUUGCAUCAGGUAUGAUGCAUGUAGCGUGCCAACUUCAUGUGGCAACAAAUCGGGGGCAUCUCACUUAAUUGCAUUUUACCUUUUAU
ensembl:lncRNA